rnacentral:rRNA from 1 species
UACGUAGGGUCCGAGCGUUGUCCGGAAUUAUUGGGCGUAAAGAGCUCGUAGGCGGUUUGUCGCGUCUGCUGUGAAAUCCCGAGGCUCAACCUCGGGUCUGCAGUCGAUACGGGCAGACUAGAGUGCUGUAGGGGAGACUGGAAUUCCUGGUGUAGCGGUGAAAUGCGCAGAUAUCAAGAGGAACACCUGAGGUGAAGACGGGUUGCUGGGCCAACACUGACGCUGAUGCGCGAAAGCCAGGGGAGCAAACGGG